rnacentral:rRNA from 1 species
AUACGAAGGGUGCAAGCGUUAAUCGGAAUUACUGGGCGUAAAGCGCGCGUAGGUGGUUUGUUAAGUUGGAUGUGAAAGCCCCGGGCUCAACCUGGGAACUGCAUCCAAAACUGGCAAGCUAGAGUAUGGCAGAGGGUGGUGGAAUUUCCUGUGUAGCGGUGAAAUGCGUAGAUAUAGGAAGGAACACCAGUGGCGAAGGCGACCACCUGGGCUAAUACUGACACUGAGGUGCGAAAGCGUGGGGAGCGAACGGGAUUAGAAACCCCAGUAGUCC